GAAGUGAUGGCUCAGCGGUAGACUUCUUGCCUUCCAUGCAGGAAGCCUGGGUUUGAUUCCCAGCCAGUGCA
rnacentral:tRNA from 1 species